rnacentral:rRNA from 1 species
UACGGGGGGAGCAAGCGUUGUUCGGAUUUACUGGGCGUAAAGGGCGCGUCGGCGGCCACCGCAAGUCGACUGUGAAAUCUCCGGGCUUAACCCGGAAAGGUCAGCCGAUACUGCGGGGCUAGAGUGCAGAAGGGGCAACUGGAAUUCUCGGUGUAGCGGUGAAAUGCGUAGAUAUCGAGAGGAACACCUGCGGCGAAGGCGGGUUGCUGGGCUGACACUGACGCUGAUGUGCGAAAGCUAGGGGAGCGAACGGG